GCCAUUGUUUUGAUUUAGGUUAUGUUUUGACGGUAGUUUUUAAAGAUAAAAUCAAUACUUCUGGCGUUUUUACUUUGAUAUCUUUGUGUAUCAUCGACGAAAACUGUUCGUAAUGUCCGAGUAUUUUUCGUGAAAUUAAAAUAUGAUUGUGAGUGUGUGUUGGUUAUAAAUAUUGCCAUUCUUUGUGAAGUGCCUCUUUUUAAAGUGAGUUUGAACGUAUUGUUAUGACUAACAUGAAUCUGUCAACUCUUCACUUGAACUUCUAGUUUUAAGAAUGGCGUCCAACGGUUCGGAAGAAGAAGAAAUUUGCAGAAAUUGGCGAUUAUCGUAGCCGAAAACAACUACCAGAAGUGACAAAACAUAAAAAAAGAGGGAAUAGAAAAGUUGUGUGGGAUGUUCCAAUGAUCAACCAUGUUCCGGUGCGCACCACACAGCGCCGAUGUGCCCUCUGCAGCACCAAGCAGAAGCCGAGAAGAUCUAACAUGGAGUGCGUUGUUUGCAAAGUUGCUCUGUGUCUUAGCUGUUUCGCUCCCUAUCACAUUCUUUGAAAUCUAAACAUAAUUAUUGUAAACUACCAUCAUACCACCAGUUUAAGGGACUCCAUCCAAGCAUGUAUGUCACUGCGGACGCCAGUAUUCCCGUCACUUCACGCUUGUCCGACAUAUGAGGUACGAGUGUGGCAAGACCGUGGCAGACCUGGCUUGCAGCUUGUGUGACGCCAAG
rnacentral:misc_RNA from 1 species